rnacentral:tRNA from 1 species
GGGGUUGUGGCUCAGCAGUAGAGUACUCGCCUAGGACAUGUGAGGCCCUGGGUUCGAUCCUCAGCACCACUU